AGAGGAUAUUUCAAGCUCUUUUUGCUUGGUCCUGAAGGUUGAGUGUUGCCCUUGUACUCAUUCACCUUUGAAAUUUACUGGCGGACUGCUUCGUGUUCCUUUUAGCGUUAUAGGAUAACUCUUUCGCUUGGACUCGAUGGCCUGUCCUGCCCCAAAACCCCCAAUUAUUUUGA
rnacentral:misc_RNA from 1 species